UGAAAAUAGAAUGGAUUUAUG
rnacentral:piRNA from 1 species